UCUGCUCCAAAAAGUAACCUAAAUAGGAAAAAUAAACCAUAUUAAAAAGAUAUCUUAACGUGGUACCUAACACUACAGGGAUAUAACUCUGAAAAAUAAACCAUUUUUAAAAGAUAACUUUAUGUAUUCAGAAACACUGGUUUUCAAAUCCAUACUAUACAUAACAUAACAUCUGUGUUCAUUAUUUCGUUGUUCGUGUGACUAGCCUAUGUUGUCAGUUCUGAGUCAGGAAUAUGACAGUUGUUAUCAAUUCGUUUGAUGUGUUUUGAGCUGUUGAUUUUGCCAUUUGACAAAAAUUACAAAGUCUUUUCAAUACUAUAGUUUUCACUAUAGUAUUAUAUUUUUUUAAUUUUUGAUUCUGUUGUUGUAGUAAACCUUCAAUAUCAUGUGUUCUUAUUUUUGUUUUGUUUUUUUUAUCAUAUAUUUGUAUCUAAAGAUAAACAAAAGGAAAAUACAUGUUGUUAUAUAUCUGGAAAAAGUUAAAAUUGAUUGCUAUAGUCCUUAAUUAAGAAUUGAGCCCUGACGAUAUGAUUUAAGUAACAAAAGGUUCAUUACUGCAUACAAAAAUUACAAAUG
rnacentral:lncRNA from 1 species